UGGUUUGUUGAGAUCGGUGUGAAUGAACAUGACUGGCCUGCACAAAGCCCUGACCUCAACCCCAUCGAACACCUUUGGGAUGAAUUGGAACACCGACUGCGAGACAGGCCUCAUCGCCCCAACAUCAGUGCCUGAUCUCACUAAUGCUCGUGGCUGAAUGGAAGCAAGUCCCCACAGCAAUGUUCCAACAUCUAGUGGAAAGCCUUCCCAGAAGAGCAGAGGCUGUUAUAGCAGCAAAGGGGGGACCAACUCCAUAUUAAUGCCCAUGAUUUUGGAAUGAGAUGUUCAACAAGCAGGGGUGAUGAAGGGGUGACAUUGGAUGGGAGUCGUCUUCCAGAGAGAAGGAAGAGGCCAAGUGACCGGGCAGAGGAUGCUGAAACACUCCGUAACAGGUUGGAACCAACACGUUGCAGUAUCUCCAUCACAAGCGACACUCUGCUCACAGCCCCGUGUGAAUGUAGGUAGUGGACAGGUGCUGGACCGA